AGCCUCUCGCCUAUGGAGGUCUCAGUUCAUAACUUAGCCUUGCUUUGGCCACAAGAGAAAUUUACUUGGUUCGUUCUCUCCCUGCUUGGCCUCAUUAGAAAACCACCACAGCAUUUGGCUUGCUUGCGCUAACUGGCAUGUCUGCUGAAGAGGAGGCCAGGGGUUGAGUAAACAGGGCCCAGUUGAGGUGCGCCGGCUCUGCCGAUGGAAUCCUGCCGGCCACCUGCCUGGCCGAGAGCUUUCUGCAGGCCAACCACAUUAAUCCUUCUCUGUUGUGAACGUUAAAUCCACGUCAAAUUUUUGUUUUAUUUUAAAACUAAUUCAUUAGGUAUUUGCUCUUCGAAGUUGGAAUUGGUGAAGAUUUAAAACAGGAGGCUGAUCAAUGAUGGUACCCAGACAGGAUGGUGUCACAUUUUUAUGGCAACAGAGAUAUUUAUGGUAUAACUGACAAGCCAAAGCCAGUGACUAUAACACUAAGGUGAGAAGAAUUAGCCUUCUUGUGCUGUUCCUGUAGGUUCACCAUUGGCUGAACCCAACCGGAACCCAAAGGGUGUGGAAAUCCUGUUGAUGCAGUUGGUACAGGUCAGACUUCCAAGGCACAGAGCAGGGUGCAGAAGUACGGGGAGUAAGAUGGAAGAUGCAUUACAUGCAAUGAUAGCUUUCCUUCCAACAGAUUUUUCUUUUGCUCCACUGAAGGAAAUGAUUUCUAAAAGACAUACAUGAAAAGAGAGAUACAGGGUUUUUAUUUGAAUGGAAGUCUCAAUACAACAUUGCCAUUUAUUCUGAGGCAUUUAAUCACUUAAUGAUUUUUCAUUUUAAGAAAUAUUUCAGACAUAUAUAAGAUGAUUUACCUAGGGAGAACAGCCAUGUACCUAUCACCCAGCCUAAUAACUAAAACAUUAUGAAAAACAGAUUGAAGGCCCUCAGUAGUCUCCUCAUUCACAUUCCCUUCUUCCUCUGCAGAAGUAGCCAACAUGUGGAAUCUGGUGGCUGUCAUUCUCAUUCAUUUCUUUGAAAUGUUACUAUAUAUCUUUUCCCACCCAAACAAUAUUUAUAAUUGUUCAAAUGGUAAAUGUAUCAGUUUUGCAAGAUGAGUAAAUUUUAGAGAUCUGUAUAGCAUAGAGCCUAUAGUAUUGUCCACUUAGACGUUUGUUAAGAGGGUAAAUAUCCUGCUGUGCUCUCACCACAAAGAAGAAAGGAAGAAAGAAGGAAAGAAAUAAAGGACUUAAAGUUUGGGAGGUCAUGGACAUUAUCUAUUACUUUGAAUUGUAGUGGUGGUUUCACAGGUGUAUGUGUAUGUCCAAACUCACUAAAACGUGUACAUUAAAUUAUACCUCAAUAAAGCUGUUAAAAAUAUAUAACUGAUAUCACACAGCAUGUAUUUUUCUGUACCUUGAUAUAUUUUACACAACAUUUUUAUUUUGGGGGUUGUAUGCAGGUUGAUCCAUUUAGCACAAUGUUUUUUUUCAUUCACUUUCAUUGUUCUACAGUAUUCUAUGACUUGAUGCAAAUCCUCUCACUGUGUUCAACAUUAGAAUCCUAUGAUUUUAAAAAUCAGGAUGUUUACUGCAGCUAUGUUUUUUUUUGAAUUGGUUCAUUUCUUCACCAGGUUGUGUUGUGCGGUAGUGG